GACGGAGGAUGCAAGCGUUAUCCGGAAUUAUUGGGCGUAAAGCGUCCGUAGGUGGCUGAUCAAGUCUGCUGUUAAAGCGUGCGGCUUAACUGCAUAAAGGCAGUGGAAACUGGUGAGCUAGAGUGCGGUAGGGGUAAGGGGAAUUCCCAGUGUAGCGGUGAAAUGCGUAGAGAUUGGGAAGAACAUCGGUGGCGAAAGCGCCUUGCUGGGCCUGCACUGACACUGAGGGACGAAAGCUAGGGGAGCGAAAGGG
rnacentral:rRNA from 1 species